AGAGUUUGAUCCUGGCUCAGGACGAACGCUGGCGGUGUGCUUCACACAUGCAAGUCGAACGAGGUAGCAAUACCUAGUGGCGGACGGGUGAGUAACGCGUGGGAAUCUGCCUUAAGAUGGGGGAUAACGGGCCGAAAGGCUCGCUAAUACCGCAUAUGCCGAAAGGUGAAAGGAGUAAUCCGUCUUAAGAUGAGCCCGCGUCCGAUUAGCUAGUUGGUAGGGUAAAGGCCUACCAAGGCGACGAUCGGUAGCUGGUCUGAGAGGAUGAUCAGCCACAAUGGGACUGAGACACGGCCCAUACUCCUACGGGAGGCAGCAGUGGGGAAUUUUACGCAAUGGGGGAAACCCUGACGUAGCGACACCGCGUGAGCGAAGAAGCCCCUUGGGGUGUAAAGCUCUGUCAGCUGGAACGAAAAAAAUGACGGUACCAGCAGAGGAAGCAUCGGCUAACUACGUGCCAGCAGCCGCGGUAAGACGUAGGAUGCGAGCGUUGUCCGGAUUUAUUGGGCGUAAAGAGUUCGUAGGUGGUUUGUCAAGUCUGAUGUUAAAGAUCGGGGCUCAACCCUGGGACUGCAUUGGAUACUGGCAGACUUGAGUGUGGUAGAGGCUAGUGGAAUCCCCAGUGUAGCGGUGAAAUGCGUAGA
rnacentral:rRNA from 1 species